rnacentral:rRNA from 1 species
ACGCUGGCGGCGUGCUUAACACAUGCAAGUCGAACGAAGAGCGAUGGAAGCUUGCUUCUAUCAAUCUUAGUGGCGAACGGGUGAGUAACGCGUAAUCAACCUGCCCUUCAGAGGGGGACAACAGUUGGAAACGACUGCUAAUACCGCAUACGAUCUAAUCUCGGCAUCGAGGAUGGAUGAAAGGUGGCCUCUAUUUAUAAGCUAUCACUGAAGGAGGGGAUUGCGUCUGAUUAGCUAGUUGGAGGGGUAACGGCCCACCAAGGCGAUGAUCAGUAGCCGGUCUGAGAGGAUGAACGGCCACAUUGGGACUGAGACACGGCCCUGACUCCUACGGGAGGCAGCAGUGGGGAAUCUUCCGCAAUGGACGAAAGUCUGACGGAGCAACGCCGCGUGAGUGAUGACGGCCUUCGGGUUGUAAAGCUCUGUUAAUCGGGACGAAAGGCCUUCUUGCGAAUAGUUAGAAGGAUUGACGGUACCGGAAUAGAAAGCCACGGCUAACUACGUGCCAGCAGCCGCGGUAAUACGUAGGUGGCAAGCGUUGUCCGGAAUUAUUGGGCGUAAAGCGCGCGCAGGCGGAUUGGUCAGUCUGUCUUAAAAGUUCGGGGCUUAACCCCGUGAUGGGAUGGAAACUGCCAAUCUAGAGUAUCGGAGAGGAAAGUGGAAUUCCUAGUGUAGCGGUGAAAUGCGUAGAUAUUAGGAAGAACACCAGUGGCGAAGGCGACUUUCUGGACGAAAACUGACGCUGAGGCGCGAAAGCCAGGGGAGCGAACGGGAUUAGAUACCCCGGUAGUCCUGGCCGUAAACGAUGGGUACUAGGUGUAGGAGGUAUCGACCCCUUCUGUGCCGGAGUUAACGCAAUAAGUACCCCGCCUGGGGAGUACGACCGCAAGGUUGAAACUCAAAGGAAUUG